UAUCUUGAAACGACUCUCGGCAAUGGAUAUCUCGGUUCUUGCAUCGAUGAAGAACGUAGCGAAAUGCGAUACGUGGUGUGAAUUGCAGAAUCCCGUGAACCAUCGAAUUUUUGAACGCAAGUUGCGCCCGAGGCCUUUUUGGCCUAGGGCACGCCUGCCUGGGCGUCAGUUGCCCCUCGGCGCUCCAUGCCAUGUGCGAUCUCUCACGGCUGGAUGCGGGCCUGGCCCUUCGAGUCCCUGAGCUCGGCGGGCCAAAGCGUUUGGCUUGCCCAUUGGGGCUGGCUGUGGCGAGUGGUGGAUCGAUCGCUCAGACGAGCCGUACGUCGCCCAGCUAGACCCCUCGGGUAUAUGGCCUUGUUGAAACCCCAGAACAGCAGAUGCCGAAUGGCAU
rnacentral:rRNA from 1 species